GUGGGGAAUCUUGCGCAAUGGGCGAAAGCCUGACGCAGCCAUGCCGCGUGAAUGAUGAAGGUCUUAGGAUUGUAAAAUUCUUUCACCGGGGACGAUAAUGACGGUACCCGGAGAAGAAGCCCCGGCUAACUUCGUGCCAGCAGCCGCGGUAAUACGAAGGGGGCUAGCGUUGCUCGGAAUUACUGGGCGUAAAGGGCGCGUAGGCGGACAGUUUAGUCAGAGGUGAAAGCCCAGGGCUCGACCUUGGAAUUGCCUUUGAUACUGGCUGUCUUGAGUACGGGAGAGGUGAGUGGAACUCCGAGUGUAGAGGUGAAAUUCGUAGAUAUUCGGAAGAACACCAGUGGCGAAGGCGACUCACUGGCCCGUUACUGACGCUGAGGCGCGAAAGCGUGGGGAGCAAACAGGAUUAGAAACCCCAGUAGUCC
rnacentral:rRNA from 1 species